rnacentral:tRNA from 1 species
UCCGGGGUAGCUCAGCGGCCAGAGCGGGUGGCUGUUAACCACUAGGUCGGGGGUUCGAAUCCCCCCCCCGGAG